CCUACGGGAGGCAGCAGUGAGGAAUAUUGGUCAAUGGACGAGAGUCUGAACCAGCCAAGUAGCGUGAAGGAUGACUGCCCUAUGGGUUGUAAACUUCUUUUAUAAAGGAAUAAAACGAGGCACGUGUGCCUUUUUGCAUGUACUUUAUGAAUAAGGAUCGGCUAACUCCGUGCCAGCAGCCGCGUUAAUACGGAGGAUCCGAGCGUUAUCCGGAUUUAUUGGGUUUAAAGGGAGCGUAGAUGGGUUGUUAAGUCAGUUGUGAAAGUUUGCGGCUCAACCGUAAAAUUGCAAUUGAUACUGGCAGUCGUGAGUACAGUUGAGGUAGGCGGAAUUCGUGGUGUAGCGGUGAAAUGCUUAGAUAUCACGAAGAACCCCGAUUGCGAAGGCAGCUUACUAAACUGUGACUGACAUUGAUGCUCGAAAGUGUGGGUAUCAAACAGGAUUAGAUACCCUAGUAGGC
rnacentral:rRNA from 1 species